AGGCGCACUAGGCCGCGCUGCGCCCGUCGGCCAUUUUGUGUCCGGGAGUUUGGCGCCGGCAUUUUCGGGAGCCGUCUCCGGAAAGGCGGAUGAAGGCGACGGGGCGAGCCUGCCGGUGACCGGGCGGCGGCGGCGGCCUUUCUCGCCAUUUCCUGCGGGCCGGAAGGGCGCUGGCUCGGUCCAGGCCUCGCCUCCCGCCGGCCCUCAUGCGCCACAACCUCACCCAGCUGCUGGCGGCCUCGUCGGGCCCGAGCAGCCCCCGGGAGCCGGCGGCGGCCUUCCCCUUCCUGCCCUCGGGCGAUGAGGCCGAGCCGGCGGCGAACGGCGGCGGCGGCGACGACGAGCUGCUUUUCCCGGGCUUCGAGCUGGAGGACUGGCUGGAGGCGGCGGUGGGGGCCGGAGAGGCGCGGCCGGCCUGGGCCAGGGACGACUCCCGCUGCAGCCCCGAGGCGGUGGCGGUGGCGGCGGGCCGGGCGGCGCGCCUGAAAGCGGCCGAGGCGGCCCGCCUGAACCGGCAGAAGAAGAAGCGCUACGUGGAGGGCCUGGAGAGCCGCCUGCGAGGCCUGGCCGCCGAGAACCGGGAGCUGCGCGGCCGCAACCGGGGCCUGUGCCGCCGCCUGCGCGACGUGGAGCGGGAGGCCUCCUACCUGCGGGCCGUGCUGGCCAACCAGAGCGCCCUGGGACGCCUCUUGGGCCGCCUGGCCGGCCACGGCAGCCUGAGGAUCAGCACCGGCCUCUGGCAGGGCGACGACGGCGACGAGCACCGCGGGCCCGGCGACCACGACUACGCCCUCCCUGCGCCCAGGGACGACGGCGACGAGGACGAGCCCGGCCCGGCCGGCCUUUGCCUGCACGUGGACCGGGACCGGGUGUCGGUGGAGUUCUGCUCCGUCUGCUCCAGGAGGGCCUCGGCCGCCUCCCCCGCCUCUCCCGCCUCCAAAAUUUUCUUUUUUAGGUGCUUGCCCUGCCAGGCUCCGUUGUGUAGGGGUUAAAAGAACAGUCGUUUUCCACCUCGCAACCUGAAGUGGAUACAGCUGUCUUGGGGGCAGAAGAAACGGGACCAGCUGCUGGCCACAUUUCCUGCUUUAUAUUAAAAGGCACAAGAAUGACUACCCUGCCUCCUCAGAGGAAUACCCAACUACAAAAACCUUUGCCAAGCAUAAUUGGAAGGUGUACUUUUUGCUGAAAAAUUAAUGCUGAUGUAUACUGUACCAGUACAUCUUUAUCCAGUCACCUGCUUUUACAGGACAAAAAUAAUAUGUUUGGGCUAGUAGUAAGUAGCAGUAAGUGUGCAUCAGUGAAUGGUGCUGGGAGUCAAUACAUGGUAAUAUUGCUAACACUUCAGAUAUAAAAACUUGUUUCUUUCUUACCUGACUUUCUAAGCCUUCAUUGUGGCACCAAGUUAAUAGAGGACUUUGCUCAUUAUCUGACUUAAAAAAUGUGUACACUUGUGUGUGUAACUUACCAUUUAUAAGAACAUAAGAACAAGCCAGUUGGAUCAGACCAGAGUCCAUCUAGUCCAGCUGUCUGCUACUCGCAGUGGCCCACCAGGUGCCUUUGGGAUCUCACAUGCAGGAUGUGAAAGCAGUGGCCUUCUGCGGCUGCUGCUCCUGAGCACCUGGUCUGUUACCCCCCCUUUUUUUAAACAGCUUGGUAGUAUCGCGGGGGCUUUUCUGUGCAAUGUAACUUCCUGGAGAGAUGGCAUCAAAGUAGUUGGGGCCAGCUAUGUCUCAAACUGGCAUUCAACAAAAUGGAUUUUCUUCUGAGCUUCAAUUGAUCUGCUACCAUUUAGCCGACAUUAGAAAUCUUUCCAUUGACUGGUUUUGAAACAAAGCAUUAAGAAGGCUGAGACAUAUUAAAGAGCUGAGCUGCAUAAGAACUCAGCACAAGAGCGCAACGGGGAGCUAGUAUAACUAAGCCUAUUUGCAUAACUCAUAGUAUAAAACUUUACUAACAAUUGUAAUGUUGAUUAAUAAUGUUCAAAGUUUCUGCAGCCCAAACACUAGGUGUUGUGAGUCUUUUGUUAGGAAGUGGAACACACAGGGUAUCACAGUAAGCAUAUGGAGUUAAAUAUAUGGAGAUGCACCCUGCGUGACUUUACUAGUAUACUGAAACCAGCCUAUACAUAGUUUGCGCUUGGAUUACUGGCAGCUGUUCAUUUCAAUUAUUUCCCCUUCUGUAAAGCUUUUCUCUGCUCAUACAGUUUUUUUCCCCAGACACUGCUUACUUAUACUUGUUAUUAUAGCAUCUUCUUGUCUGUCCAGGUUACCUUAACUGAAGGAUUAAUUUUCUUAUGUUUGAUUCUGUACUGAACCACAGGUUGCAGGUAAAACAUGUCUGGUUUCCAGAAUUUGGCUGGAAAACCUGGCAUGGCAUUACCGAA